UUGGGUGUUUUAUGGUUUUUAUUGUUCAGCGUACUCUUUGCAAACAUUAGUCUGGUCCAUCAGUUUGAGUUCUGAGAUUAUAUUGUUUCUACUCAAUUGUUAAAGUGGGAAAGCAAAGCAGACAUGUUCAUUUUAAAAUUACAUAUGCCUACAUUCUAAAUGAUUCUUAAACAAGUUGAUUAUGUGCUUGUAAGGAUGACUUCAUUGACCGUUUUGGCCAGAACUUAUUUUGUACGUUUUAGGGACCAUGCAUUGCCUAGCUCAACCAAUAGAAGCUAUCACACAUCACAAGUCGCUUGAAUUCGUUCAUUGUUAAUGGCAGGUACCAAUGUUCAUUUGUCAAUACGUUCGUUGGCCACCUUUAUUUAGAUUUAAGAAUAUAAAAGAGUACUGUUUGGCUAUAACUGUCCCCAAUAUUGUCAUAUUGUUAUUGCUGUGGAGGACAAAAAGAUUAGGGCCUAAGUCAUGUACCGGAAGUUAAGACCAGUCAUUCAGUUUGUCUCGUACUGACCAGUCGUUCAGUU